CCUGAUCCUAGAUCAUAAUGAAUCAGGUUACAUGGAGAGGAGGACCUGAUCCUAGAUCACAAUGAAUCAGAUUACAUGGAGAGGUGGGACCUGAUCCUAGAUCAUAAUGAAUCAGAUUACAUGGAGAGGGGGACCUGAUCCUGAUUCAGCACUCCUCCUUUGAGACACUGCCUUUAUGAUUAAGGAAUGCUGUUGUAAAUUGUAGUUACAGCAGGUGUUUACUGCCAUCUAGUGGAAGAUACCAAUAAAACACUUUAUUUUCAGGGUGGGGAGACGGCUGAGUGAAACAGAAAGUAAAGUUGUUCUUUUGUUCAGGAUCCAUUUUGAGACGACAGAGCAGAAGACGCUAUAUGGAGAUUACUGACAAAUAAGGGUCAGUGCUCUAAAAUGAGUCUCUCUGGGGAGAGAGAGGAGGGGGGCCCUGCCUCUAAAAUGCAUCUCUCUGGGGGACAUGACACCAAAGCUAAGAGCGCCCGGCCCGGGAUUCAAACCAGCCACCUUUCAGCCACAGGUCCAACUCCUGCCACAGCUCCAACUCCUUAAUCGCUGGGCGAAAACCUGAGUUAAUCUUGGGAAAUUAGCAUAAAUUAAUCUGCCAAAAUGAAGACAAAAUGCUUUGGAGACAUACAUGGUAUCACUUGUUAUACAUAAGUAUUAUACAUAAAUCAUUGCCAAAAGCACAGGACAUAUAUUAUUUAUGGAUUGAUCAUAUCAAAUAUCAAAACAUUAUUUUAACUACUACAAAGCAUUUACAUGUGGCUCAGGAACCACUGACUCACUGCAUUGUUCUAUAGUAUUAUCAAGACACCUGCUGUUAACUCUUAACUACUUAGGACAGCUCACGAGGUGUUCUAAAUAUCUGCCGACUAGGUGGGACUAGAGACUUCAUGCAUAGCUUUAAUUUAUACCCAUAAGUGUAAAAUGUCUUUAUUCUCAGCACUUAUUCGACCAAUUUUCUUCUCUGAGACGCUUUGUGGAUAUGGGCCCAGAUCUCAAAAUAAUGUUAUAAAAAACUUAUGAUGUUUGUUUUACAUAAUAAUAGAAAAUGAAUAUUACUAAUGUAACCCACUGUAAAGACUGGGUUUAGUUGAUUGUGUUGCACUGCUCAUGUCCGCGUUCUGGACCUUCCCGCGUCCACGUACAGAACUGUCCGCGUCCACGUACAUUGUGGCGCCAAGCAUAUUGUCUGGUUAUGCGCAGAGUGGGCUGAGGUGAUCUUGGGGAAUAAAGUGUUGAAACGCC